rnacentral:rRNA from 1 species
GUCUACGGCCAUACCAGUCUGAAAGUGCUUGAUUUUGUCAGAUCUUAGAAGUCAUGUAGACUUGGGCCUGCUUAGUACUUGUAUGGGAGACCAACUAGGAAUCUCAGGUGCCGUAAGCU